rnacentral:rRNA from 1 species
CAGCAGCCACGGUAAUACGAAGGGUGCAAGCGUUAAUCGGAAUUACUGGGCGUAAAGCGUGCGUAGGCGGUGAGUUAAGUCUGCUGUGAAAUCCCCGGGCUCAACCUGGGAAUGGCAGUGGAUACUGGCUCGCUAGAGUGUGUCAGAGGAUGGUGGAAUUCCCGGUGUAGCGGUGAAAUGCGUAGAGAUCGGGAGGAACAUCAGUGGCGAAGGCGGCCAUCUGGGACAACACUGACGCUGAGGCACGAAAGCGUGGGGAGCAAACGGGAUUAGAUACCCCCGUAGUCCCUGUCUCUUAUAC